rnacentral:rRNA from 1 species
AUUGAACGCUGGCGGCAUGCCUUACACAUGCAAGUCGAACGGUAACAGGUCUUCGGAUGCUGACGAGUGGCGAACGGGUGAGUAAUACAUCGGGACGUGCCUAGUAGUGGGGGAUAACUACUCGAAAGAGUGGCUAAUACCGCAUGAGAUCUACGGAUGAAAGCAGGGGAUCGCAAGGCCUUGUGCUACUAGAGCGGCCGAUGGCAGAUUAGGUAGUUGGUGGGAUAAAAGCUUACCAAGCCGACGAUCUGUAGCUGGUCUGAGAGGACGAUCAGCCACACUGGGACUGCGACACGGCCCAGACUCCUACGGGAGGCAGCAGUGGGGGAUUUUGGACAAUGGGCGCAAGCCUGAUCCAGCAAUGCCGCGUGCAGGAUGAAGGCCUUCGGGUUGUAAACUGCUUUUGUACGGAACGAAAAGCCCUGGGUUAAUACCCUGGGGUCAUGACGGUACCGUAAGAAUAAGCACCGGCUAACUACGUGCCAGCCGCCGCCGUAAGAC